rnacentral:rRNA from 1 species
UACAGAGGUCUCAAGCGUUGUUCGGAUUCAUUGGGCGUAAAGGGUGUGUAGGUGGCGCCGUAAGUCGGGUGUGAAAUUUCGGAGCUUAACUCCGAAACUGCAUUCGAUACUGCGGUGCUUGAGGACUAGAGAGGAGACUGGAAUUCAUGGUGUAGCAGUGAAAUGCGUAGAGAUCAUGAGGAAGACCAGUGGCGAAGGCGGGUCUCUGGACAGUUCCUGACACUGAGACACGAAGGCCAGGGGAGCAAACGGG